rnacentral:lncRNA from 1 species
GGUCCAAAAAGGGCAUUUUGGGCAUAUUUUGGAUACUUGGUAAAAAGAUCAUCAAAAGGACAUGACAUCUCAUAAAGUACUUUGAAUUUUUAAGUGUUUUUAAUAUUUCUAUAAAGGUUUACAUGUGUACUACAAGUUUUAUGAUUUUUGAGCUGGGGUCUCUUACACCGUUACCAUGGCAACGGAAUAAAAAUGGGUUAUUUUCAUAUAUUUUCCACAA